CGCAACUCAUUUUGCUGUGGUUGCGGCUCUCAGAGCACGCCGGCAGAGAACCAGAGGUAGGAGUAUCCACCGAACUGCCAUGACCUCCCUUAGGCUGCUGUUAGGGUUUGUGUUUGUUAGUGCUAAUAUAGAAGCAUUCUUGGUGGUUAGGCUAAGAGCUAUGCUAACAUCAUUCAUGAUGUCACAGCACCACCCGAACCAGAGCCGUUGUGAUGGAGCUGUGACCGCGGCCGCUGGAGCACACUGGUGGAGCAGACUGGAGAAGCAGACCGGAGGAGCAGACCGAAGGAGCAGACCGGAGUAGCAGACCAGAGUAGCAGACCGGACGAGCAGUCCGGACGAGCAUACUGGACGAGCCGAGAUGCUGAGCCCGGCGGUGCUGCGGGGGUCCCUGCUUCUCAUUAUCUUCUGCUCCCACCCUGGAGCCCCCUCCAUUACCACAAGUACCGCCACCUGUCUGUCUGCCUGUCUGUCUGCCUGUCUACCUGCCCGUCUGUUUGCCUAUCUUUCUGCCUGCCUGUCUAUCUAUUUGUAUGUCUGUUUUCUACCUAUCUGCCUCCUUGUAUUGCUGUCUGUCCGUCUGCUUCUUUACCUGUCUCUCUACCUGUCUGUCUGUCUGUCUGUCAGCCUCUCCAUCUUUCUAUUUGUCUCUCUGCAGUUCUGUCUGUCUAUUUACUCACCUGACUGCUUCUAUCACUGCCUGUCUGUCUGUUUGUCUACCUUUCUGUCUCUCAGGGUUUCCGACCAUCAGAGACAAGACGUGGAGAGGUCAAAGAUCAUGCCCGCUGGUCCUGGCCCCUCCCCCUCCCUUCUUCCCUCCAUUCUCACGCAAAGAAGAGCUAAUGUCCCCAGGGGCGGGGCCCAGCACCAAGACAAACUCCACGGGUGGGGGAUAACCUGCACUGUGAUGAGAUGUCAGAGGUCAUCUGAAGGUGGUCUUGUUUCCAGGUUGACAUAACGGAUCAGAUAACGGGACUCAACGGAGACAAGGUAGCUAUCAGCUCAUCAAGAUCUAGUGUUGGCACGGCUGAUCAUACAUCAAUAAUCAAUAUCUUUACAGGGCUGCAGGGGGACCAGAGGACAACAGGUACACACACACACACACACACACACACACACACACACACACACACACACACACACACACACACACACACACAUACCAGACAAAUCAAGCGCGUGUGUUUUCUGUUCGUCAGGGUAAGCCCGGACCCUCAGGGUCUCCUGGAGAGACAGGGUCACCUGGAUCGAUGGGACCCCCCAUGAAGGUAACAUUCAACCAACCAUAUAUAAGCAUUAUUAAUUACAUGCUUCAUGACCUUUCCAAAGGUAUGCAGUGUUCACAUGUUAAGGGUCUCAGGAUGUAAUGCAGUGUUCACAUGUUAAGGGUCUCAGGAUGUAAUGCAGUGUUCACAUGUUAAGGGGCUCAUGAUGUAAUGCAGUGUUCACAUGUUAAGGGGCUCAUGAUGUUAUGCAAUGUUCACAUGUUAAGGGGCUCAUGAUGCAAUGCAGUGUUCACAUGCUAAGGAGCUCAAGAUGUAAUGCAGUGUUCACAUGCUAAGG
rnacentral:lncRNA from 1 species